GAGCAGCAUGAAUCACCAGGGCCCCGAGUCACGGGGACAACUGUUUGCAUUUUUCCUGGGAGGCUGAGCUAUUUUGCUGACUCGGUGACAAAUUCCUUAAAGGGAGGACUGAGGAGUCAAUGGGCUACCAGGCUCAGGGACAAAAAGAAGAGGUCUCACUCGGGACCUGAGCCAAGGUGAGCGUCUGCUGCAGCAGGGAGGCAGAAAGAGCCCGGGUAGGGAGCCCAGGGUUCUGCCAGGCAGAGCAGGAGACCCGCAGGGCCAAGUCCCCGUGGGACAGAUCUCAGGAGAGCUCCUAUGGCCCAAGGUUUUAAAACUGUAGAACUGAGAGCAAUUGCUGUUGAUAUGACCAAGGUAAAUCACUCCCCUGAAUCUGGGAGCUAAAAAGCAGAAUUAGAACUGUGAAUGCCCUAGCAAGAGUUUAUAAGACAGAAGAGGGGAGAAAUGAGAAAAAAAAAGUCUCUCACCCUACAAGAUCUGUAAAAUACCAGAGUGCUAGUGGACAAGGACACAGAGCUGUUUGGUUUCCAUUUCCUGAGACAGCACUUCUGUCCCAGCCCGCUGACCAGUUAGGCAGCCACUUCCCGUUGUGUUCAGUUUCUAAUUCCUCAGAGCACAGCAUCAGCCAGAGAACUGCUCCUCUCCUGAUUCUACCUCCGAGGCACCUGCGUCAGAGGCCUGACCUGUGGCCAGGACUUUUCACAGCAGUGAAGAAAUUUCAGCUUGAAGGUUAAGAUGGCUACUGGGGAAAUACAUUUAUCUAUUGACGCAGAAUCUGACUACGCUGAGCUGGUUUUAGAUGCAAAAAAAGUUACCCUUGGAGAGAAGGCUAGAAGCAACAUGAAUGAUCAUACACUGAAAAAACAACAGAAAAACACUAUCUUACGAGCUACAUCUGCUCUACUGAAGUGUGCAGGGGGAAUAAUCAAGAUGGAGAUUGAAAAUGAAGACUAUAGGUAUUCAGAAUGUGGAAUAGGACACGAUUUGGAAGAACGUUUUGAACAUAUGGUGCCAGAUGUUGAAAACUACUUUAAUUUCAUGCAGAAAGAAAACAACUUUUUCAUAUUUGUGAAGUCAGGUAUACAUGAUCAGCGAUAUGGAACCUUGAGCACCAAUAUGUACAGAAGGAAUUUGUCGCGUACAGAUGAAAUGAGUGAGGAUUCUGCCCUGAUGUUCCUCAAGGAACUGAAGAAAACUGAAGGGAGGUCAUAUUCAACACUGACGAUGCCUGCUGACAGAGAUUUUGUUGAUGAUAGAGACAGCAAAGACUUAGCUGCUAAAUUUUUUAACAGUGAACUACUUACAUACCAAGGAAAAAUUCCUUUUGGUGAAUCCACUCAUGUUGAAUAUGAAAAGACGCAAACAAUAAUUGGCUUGAAAAAAGGCAUGAAUAACCUCCCAGAGAUAAAAAGAAAAAUAGAAGAGGACAUUCCAAAACUGCCUGUCUAUCACUGCUGCAAGGAGAAGAAGAAGAUAAAUUACACAUGCAAAUCCAUCGAAGUUCACAACAAGGAAGGUCUUUAUGGCUAUGUUCUCGCAAUCAGAAUAGAGAGAUUCUGCUGUGCUGUGUUUGCUAAAGAACCCGAUAGCUGGCAUGUGAAAGAUAACCGCGUGGUGCAGAUGACUUCCACGGAAUGGGUGGAGUUCAUGAUGGAAGGUGAAUCUGGUUAA
ensembl:lincRNA